rnacentral:rRNA from 1 species
UAGCCUGUUGGGGUUUAAUAAUAGGUAAUUUCUGCCCAGUGCUUUGUAAGUAAAUGGCCGCGGUAUUCUGACCGUGCAAAGGUAGCAUAAUCAUUUGCUCUUUUAUUGAGGGCUUGUAUGAAUGGGAUGACGUGAUUUGGGCUGUCUCUCUUCUUUAAUUGAAACUUGCUGUUUUUGUGAAGAAGCAAAAAUGUAAAAAAAAGACAAGAAGACCCUAUUAAGCUUUACUUGUGGUUGAUACAGGUUAACUUUGUUAAUAGAAUUAAUUUGUGCUGGUCGAGUUUGGUUGGGGUGACCAAAGAAGAAAAGAUCUUCUUUUUGUAUAAAAACUAUAUGUUUAGCAAUGACCCAGAAAAUUCUGAAAAAAAGAAUAAGUUACUAUAGGGAUAACAGCGUAAUUUUUUCAAAGAGUUCUUAUCGAAGAAAAAGAUUGCGACCUCGAUGUUGACUUGUUGUUUCCGUUUUAAUAGGUGUAGAAGCUAAGAAGGUUGGUCUGUUCGACCAUUAAAACAGC